rnacentral:rRNA from 1 species
UACGUAGGGUGCGAGCGUUGUCCGGAAUUAUUGGGCGUAAAGAGCUUGUAGGCGGUCUGUCGCGUCUGCUGUGAAAAUCCGGGGCUCAACCCCGGACUUGCAGUGGGUACGGGCAGACUAGAGUGUGGUAGGGGAGACUGGAAUUCCUGGUGUAGCGGUGAAAUGCGCAGAUAUCAGGAGGAACACCGAUGGCGAAGGCAGGUCUCUGGGGCACUACUGACGCUGAGAAGCGAAAGCAUGGGGAGCGAACAGG